rnacentral:rRNA from 1 species
ACGCUGGCGGCGUGCUUAACACAUGCAAGUCGAACGGAAAGGCCCUGCUUUUGUGGGGUGCUCGAGUGGCGAACGGGUGAGUAACACGUGAGUAACCUGCCCUUGACUUUGGGAUAACUUCAGGAAACUGGGGCUAAUACCGGAUAGGAGCUCCUGCUGCAUGGUGGGGGUUGGAAAGUUUCGGCGGUUGGGGAUGGACUCGCGGCUUAUCAGCUUGUUGGUGGGGUAGUGGCUUACCAAGGCUUUGACGGGUAGCCGGCCUGAGAGGGUGACCGGCCACAUUGGGACUGAGAUACGGCCCAGACUCCUACGGGAGGCAGCAGUGGGGAAUAUUGCACAAUGGGCGGAAGCCUGAUGCAGCAACGCCGCGUGCGGGAUGACGGCCUUCGGGUUGUAAACCGCUUUCGCCUGUGACGAAGCGUGAGUGACGGUAAUGGGUAAAGAAGCACCGGCUAACUACGUGCCAGCAGCCGCGGUGAUACGUAGGGUGCGAGCGUUGUCCGGAUUUAUUGGGCGUAAAGGGCUCGUAGGUGGUUGAUCGCGUCGGAAGUGUAAUCUUGGGGCUUAACCCUGAGCGUGCUUUCGAUACGGGUUGACUUGAGGAAGGUAGGGGAGAAUGGAAUUCCUGGUGGAGCGGUGGAAUGCGCAGAUAUCAGGAGGAACACCAGUGGCGAAGGCGGUUCUCUGGGCCUUUCCUGACGCUGAGGAGCGAAAGCGUGGGGAGCGAACAGGCUUAGAUACCCUGGUAGUCCACGCUGUAAACGGUGGGUACUAGGUGUGGGGUCCAUUCCACGGGUUCCGUGCCGUAGCUAACGCUUUAAGUACCCCGCCUGGGGAGUACGGCCGCAAGGCUAAAACUCAAAGGAAUUGACGGGGCCCCGCACAAGCGGCGGAGCAUGCGGAUUAAUUCGAUGCAACGCGUAGAACCUUACCUGGGUUUGACAUGGAUCGGGAGUGCUCAGAGAUGGGUGUGCCUCUUUUGGGGUCGGUUCACAGGUGGUGCAUGGCUGUCGUCAGCUCGUGUCGUGAGAUGUUGGGUUAAGUCCCGCAGCGAGCGCAACCCUUGUUCACUGUUGCCAGCACGUUAUGGUGGGGACUCAGUGGAGACCGCCGGGGUCAACUCGGAGGAAGGUGGGGAUGACGUCAAGUCAUCAUGCCCCUUAUGUCCAGGGCUUCACGCAUGCUACAAUGGCUGGUACAGAGAGUGGCGAGCCUGUGAGGGUGAGCGAAUCUCGGAAAGCCGGUCUCAGUUCGGAUUGGGGUCUGCAACUCGACCUCAUGAAGUCGGAGUCGCUAGUAAUCGCAGAUCAGCAACGCUGCGGUGAAUACGUUCCCGGGGCUUGUACCCACCGCCCGUCAAGUCAUGAAAGUUGGUAACACCCGAAGCCGGUGGCCUAACCGUUGUGGGGGAGCCGUCGAAGGUGGGACUGGUGAUUAGG